rnacentral:rRNA from 1 species
AUGAAGAAGCAGUCACGUGAUUGGAUGCCUUGCAGUCAGUUGCAGCCUUGUAGCAGCAAGUCGUGCAGUCGAUUCAGCAGAUCGGGCGAGUUCUUGGUGAGAUCGGUCAUCGAUUCAUGCGUUGACUCGGCGAGAUGCGAGCGACAAGUGACCAUCACCGAGCCUGAACUGGUGCGUGAAGUUCUGUCCAACAAGUUGGGUCACCUUGAGAAGCUCAACCUGGGCCGACUUCAAAGGAUGCUGCACCACGGUGUGGGUAGCCAUGAGGGUGAAAAAUGGGUUAAGCACCGGAAGAUCAUCACCCCUGCCUUCCAUCUCGAGAAGCUCAAGCAACCCACCUCCCGAACGGCCCAUAACAAAAUCCACGACCUGCUACAGUUGAGAGUCUCUCGAGACAGUUCCUUCCCGGCCCGAUCCCGGAUCCUCUCCGCCGGCAACGCUCGUCGAAGAAGUGAUGGGGGAGGUGCUCGGCGUGUUCUUGUACAUAGUAGAUGUAGGUUCAGUUUCCGUUCUGGUGUGUUGGGCGUGAUGCCUAGGACUGGCGAUAUGCCGAUGAGGAGCGCGCCGCCUGCGCGUACGAGCAGCGCAUGGUGGCUAGCGGCGAUGCUUUGGUUGGUGGCGGUGGCGUGGUGCUACUCGCUGCUGCGUGAUUCAUCGUCGGCGCAUCCUCCAAUAAGCUCGGUUGCUGCCAUGAUUUGGAGAAGGAUUCGUCCCCUUCCUCUGUUGCUUCAAGCUGCCAUGGAGGUGGAUGGAGCGAUGGUGAUGCUAGAGGAUCUGGUUUUUGCAGGUGGGUUCGGAGCAUAUCAGCAGCGGCAGAUCAGGUGGAGCUACGGCGCCCGCUGGCAGCCGGUCUUCCACACCAUGUCAUUGCCCCUUCUGGCCGAAUGGCGGCCGUGUAUUUCCUCCCAGCCUAAGAGCGAUAGGGGAGGCAGAUGCAUCUUCUAUCUGGAGUUCGAAGCGGUUCCAAGCUGCUGCGAUGGUCUCGUCGCCCCAAGUGGUGCGUCCCCGGCGACGGCGAGUCUACAUCCAGGAAGAAGAUGUUGUGGACCCGAUUGCAAUUUUCAGAUCCAGUUUAGGAGAGAGAGCUGGACUCACAGCUGGAAAGGUUUCAUACGAGAUUUGUUUGGAAACAAAAAGGACCGAGUCCUGGAAGUCCUCGUAUUCGGCAACCUGGAGAGAAAAUCCAUUGCUGAUUAUGUCCAUCCAUCGUGGUUUGAGCUAAAGCAGGAGCCAUCACGUGAUUACCAGAAGAUUUUCUUUUGGUUGGAAUUGCUAUUAGUACAUGAGGGUGUACCAUGUCAGAACGAGAACGAGGUCGCUCCCGUCGACGGGGGGCUCAGGUCCUCAGCAACUCCAUGGAUAAAGUUUGGUGCUGGUUUCGGGAGAGGUGGAACGAGCUUGCCAUUUUGGGAAAAUGUGUAUGGCUUUGAUAUGUCAUCUCUUGGGAAAGAAGUAACAGAGAGUUCAGCUCGAUUUCCUGUUGUUGAUAUACUGGCUUCUCAGGAUGUUGUGACAGAUACCGCUGUACUCCAUGUUCUGCAAGGACAAGCCCGUGGUCCUCUCCACCUCUCCUUUCUCCACGCCAACUCACUGGUCGCAGACAAUCUUCAGUUCUUCACCUUCGAAGAGCCCAUCGCGAUGGUAAAGGAUAGGUCAGUCAUUGGCUCAUCAGCAUCUGUUGGCACGGCUGAAUGCCCAGCUGCGACGAUCAGAUCCCGCAUCAGCAUCGUGAGGGCCUCUGAGCACCGCAGCAUAGACAUAUCAAUCGAAACCACGGGAAUCAGCUCAGAUGGCCGGAAGCGCAGCUGGCCAGCUCAGAUCUUCAACCUUUGA